UAAAAGGAUUGCCUACGAACCUCUCUUCUUUCCCUAUAAAAUCUUAACGGGACUCUCAUCGGUGACCUCCGCAAAACAAUCUCCAUCCAGCACCAGCAACCACAGCGGCGGUGAAACGAAGAGCGAAACCCAAGACACAUAACGACAUCUGAACUCGAAAGCAAGAAGCCAGGCAAAACCCUAUCGAUCUAAACGGGGUCCCAAAAAUCCUAAGGAAAAUAGAACAAGAAGAUGGAGAGAUCACGUUCGAAGAAAAUAUACCAUUACGACCGGGACUCCAAUUCCCAGAACCCUUCCCACCGCUCCAAGCCCCGCUACGAUCGUGGCGGGGGAGGCGGCCCCCAUCGUCGCGGAAACAACCACCGACGGGGCGGCGACCGCCGCGUCCCGCCACCUCCUCCUCCCCUUCCCCCACCGCCGCCGGCGCUGCCCUCCUUUUCCUCCGCCUCCUCCCCCAGUAUCCAGGACGGGGUGGCACCGCCCAGCGCGGUCACCACCUUUUUCCGCAUUCUAUGCCCCGACUCGAAGGCCGUCGGCGUGAUCGGCAAUUCCGGGAGCACCAUCAAGACCUUCCGCCAGGAGACUGGUGCGUUGAUCGACGUCCACCAACUGGUCCCCGGCGACGAGGAACGGAUCAUUGAGACGGCGGACAACCGCCUCCGGGAACCCGACGGCCGCCCCCCGCAGUACUCCCCAGCCCAGGAGGCCCUGCUUCGGAUCCACGAGCGGAUUGUGGACGCGGAGUUCGAGUACAGUGGCGGCGAUGAGAAGAAUGAGUACGGCGGUGGUGGUGGCGGUGGCGGUGGCGGAGGAGGAGGAGAGAGGCGGAGAGAUAGGAGGCGGGUGACGACGAAACUGGUGGUGCCGAGGACCCACGUCGGGUGCUUGCUGGGGAAGGGGGGAAAGAUCAUUGAGCAGAUGAGAAACGAGACCAAGACCCACAUCCGAAUCUUGCCACGGGAUCACUACACUCCCAACUGUGUCUUGACGUCAGAGGAAGUCGUUCAGGUUGUUGGAGAAGGUAAUUGUGUGAAGAAAGCUGUCGAAAUCAUCUCAUUUCGUUUAAAGGAGAGCUUGCAUCGUGAUCGAGGAGCUUUUCGUGGGCGAUUACAUUCACCAGACCGUUAUAUUCCCUCUGAUGAUAAGCUUGCCAACAGUACUCAACAUCUAUCGGCAUUGGCAGAAUCUGAUUUGGGAUCACGAUCUUCUGUGGGACAAAAUAGAGUUAAAAGCAAUUCCUAUAUUUCAGAACUGUCUGGAUAUGCAUUUGAUUCUGAUGGAAAUACUCUGAAUGACCACCCACAGUCAUUGUCGUAUGAGGAACUUGUAUUUCGAAUUCUUUGCCCCAGUGAUAAAGUUGAGAGUGUUAUGGGAACACCAAAUGGAAUUAUCAAAAUGCUCCGAGCUGAUAUAGGCGUGGAUGUGCAGGUUACUGAUCCUGUACCUGGCUUAGAUGAAAGAAUCAUUAUUAUCACUUCCAAAGAGGGUCCAGAUGAUGAUCUUUUUCCAGCUCAGGAAGCUAUGUUGCAUAUUCAAACUCACAUUGUAGAUAUUGGUGCCGAUAAGAAUAACAUCAUAACAACAAGGCUUCUUGUUCCAGCAACUGAUAUUGCAUGUUUGGAGGGAAAGGAUGGAUCAUUAUCUGAUAUACAAAGAUUGACUAGGGCCAAUAUACAGAUCUUACCAAAAGAAGACCUUCCCCCUUGCGCAUUGGAGGCUGAUGAGCUUGUACAGAUUGUAGGGGAGAUAAGAGCAGCCCGAAAUGCUCUUGUCCAGAUUACUGCAAGGUUGCGCAGUUAUGUGCAUCGUGACAUCUCUGCACCAAAGCACAUGCUUCCACCAUCUAUCUCCACCCCAAGCCAUGUUGGUAGCAUUGCUGGACAUGAAUCUAGCUCUCCUAUUAAAGCUUCAACUCGUGAAGCUUAUCCUGGAAGUGAUUCUGCAAUGGCAAUCUAUCAAAAUAUGCAUAGUGCAACAACUGCAUGGCAACCAAAGGACACUGGAGGAUGUGCAAAUGGAACAUCUGAGCAGGAAGAGAGCAAUAUUAAUGAUGAAGGGAGGCAGAGUGGUGUGAAAAGAUUCAAUGUACCGUUAGUCACCAGAAGCAUGCUGGAAGUUAUAAUACCCACACAUGCAGUUCCAAGCCUGAUAUUCAGAUCAGGAAGCAAACUUGCUCAGAUCAGUGAGAUGUCUGGAGCGACUGUCACCCUUACUGAUGAUAGACCUGAAUUUUCUGAAAAAGUGGUUCAAAUAUCAGGAAGUCCAGAGCAGGCUGAGAGAGCCCAGAGCCUUCUCCAGGGAUUUGUACUAAGCACACAACAUGUCAUUCCUUGAAGCUAAUCUAUAGUACUGCGAUGCUGAAGCUUACUGCCUGCUGAGCAGCGAUACCUUUUUUUGGCACUUCUCACUGUUUAAGUUGUCUUCUGGAUCCUUCACAGAGAAUGAGUGGAAUGUUUUCCAAGGGUUGUAUAAAGGAAUUCAGGAAAAAAAUCCACCAAGAUAUAAAGAUCCAGUUUUUUGGGCGGCGAUCAUAAUUUUUUUCAUGAUUUUUAGAAACUUCUCAAAUUAUUUACAUGUCUCCAAAAUAUUUCUGAAUGCUUAACUAUUCAUGAAUGAUUCAAUGGCAUAAAUUUCAUGACAAUGCGUGAACCAAGGAAUGCCGUAUCGGGCCGAACCGUUCGAUACGGGAUGUGUCGAACCAUCUCGGCGGAGAUCCGAGACGGUUCCGGCAUACAAAAUGGCACGUGCCAGUGCUGGAGAAGAAAAAGAGAGAAAGAGAGAGAAAUAGAGAGAGAGGGAGGAAGGAAGAAAA